GAGCUGGUCAAUAUCUGCUCUCCCAGUCGUAAACUGUGUGAGCGUCCCCUAAUGCUGCUGCUGUCCAGGGGACUCCUCUGAACAGAGCCAU